rnacentral:rRNA from 1 species
UGCAGUCGAACGAUGAAGCUUCUAGCUUGCUAGAAGUGGAUUAGUGGCGCACGGGUGAGUAAGGUAUAGUUAAUCUGCCCUACACAAGAGGACAACAGUUGGAAACGACUGCUAAUACUCUAUACUCCUGCUUAACACAAGUUGAGUAGGGAAAGUUUUUCGGUGUAGGAUGAGACUAUAUAGUAUCAGCUAGUUGGUAAGGUAAUGGCUUACCAAGGCUAUGACGCUUAACUGGUCUGAGAGGAUGAUCAGUCACACUGGAACUGAGACACGGUCCAGACUCCUACGGGAGGCAGCAGUAGGGAAUAUUGCGCAAUGGGGGAAACCCUGACGCAGCAACGCCGCGUGGAGGAUGACACUUUUCGGAGCGUAAACUCCUUUUCUUAGGGAAGAAUUCUGACGGUACCUAAGGAAUAAGCACCGGCUAACUCCGUGCCAGCAGCCGCGGUAAUACGGAGGGUGCAAGCGUUACUCGGAAUCACUGGGCGUAAAGGGCGCGUAGGCGGAUUAUCAAGUCUCUUGUGAAAUCUAAUGGCUUAACCAUUAAACUGCUUGGGAAACUGAUAGUCUAGAGUGAGGGAGAGGCAGAUGGAAUUGGUGGUGUAGGGGUAAAAUCCGUAGAUAUCACCAAGAAUACCCAUUGCGAAGGCGAUCUGCUGGAACUCAACUGACGCUAAGGCGCGAAAGCGUGGGGAGCAAACAGGAUUAGAUACCCUGGUAGUCCACGCCCUAAACGAUGUACACUAGUUGUUGGGGUGCUAGUCAUCUCAGUAAUGCAGCUAACGCAUUAAGUGUACCGCCUGGGGAGUACGGUCGCAAGAUUAAAACUCAAAGGAAUAGACGGGGACCCGCACAAGCGGUGGAGCAUGUGGUUUAAUUCGAAGAUACGCGAAGAACCUUACCUGGGCUUGAUAUCCUAAGAACCUUUUAGAGAUAAGAGGGUGCUAGCUUGCUAGAACUUAGAGACAGGUGCUGCACGGCUGUCGUCAGCUCGUGUCGUGAGAUGUUGGGUUAAGUCCCGCAACGAGCGCAACCCACGUAUUUAGUUGCUAACGGUUCGGCCGAGCACUCUAAAUAGACUGCCUUCGUAAGGAGGAGGAAGGUGUGGACGACGUCAAGUCAUCAUGGCCCUUAUGCCCAGGGCGACACACGUGCUACAAUGGCAUAUACAAUGAGACGCAAUACCGCGAGGUGGAGCAAAUCUAUAAAAUAUGUCCCAGUUCGGAUUGUUCUCUGCAACUCGAGAGCAUGAAGCCGGAAUCGCUAGUAAUCGUAGAUCAGCCAUGCUACGGUGAAUACGUUCCCGGGUCUUGUACUCACCGCCCGUCACACCAUGGGAGUUGAUUUCACUCGAAGCCGGAAUACUAAACUAGUUACCGUCCACAGUGGAAUCAGCGACUGGGG